rnacentral:lncRNA from 1 species
CUAUUAAAACAUGCUGGAACACAUGGCAUUGAUAUAUGUUUUAUGAAAUCCAGAUUAACACGUAGCCCACAAUUAUCGCAUUGAACAUGGACGUCACCCAAUGCAUAUCCUGAGACAGCGCAAAUGGAGCCAGCGCUAUCCGCGGGAAACAUUUUAUAGAUGCGUCUCAGCUUAUGCCCCUCUUUGUACAUAAUGUGAACUUUUUGUUCUCCUGGCUUAGAACUCACAAGGUUCACAGCAGAUCCGGUGUUAAUAGAACCAGCUUUAUUUUGAUUAGAUUCAGAAGAACGAAGUUCAGGGACCGAAUAAGGUGAUGUGAGGGAAUUUCUUCUUAUCGUCGAUUGGAAAGAAGAAGAAGAAAACCGAAACUUUGAAGAAGAUGGAGAAGCAGGUCUCGUAAAAGGGGGAGAAGAAAAGUUGCGAGCAUGCUCAGGCGCCUGUAAACGCGCAUAUAAAAGUUUUGAAGCUGAUGACUGGCGCGAGUCAGUUUGCUUCGCAAAAUAAAUACUCGAAGGAUUGUCUUGAAGCUUAAGGAAACCGUUUAAGAUAGGAGAGAGUACAUAAGGCCUUUUGGAAAAAUUGGAGCUUCUAAAAGACAAAAGUGCUGGGAUAGAAAACUUUUCUCUCAAAGGAAAACAUGUAACUGUACUCAACGAAAGGACAUUAUUUGGAUAAGUUUCCAUUGUGUACUUUGGAGGGCUAUGUGGUACAUAAAAUUUAUCAUGAAGUGGCGCCGCAAGCUUCAGAUGGGCCUGUAACUUAGAUCGCAAUGAGCGAGAAAGACGAACAAUUUUCCCAAACGUAGAUACAGAAUUUUUAUCAAGGUCACAAACAACAAGCGGAAUAUUGUCCAGAGGAACGUCGUCCAUAUGAAAAAAGUACGAUAGAGUGCCAAUAAUGUACGAACAAGGAGCUUCAAAACAAGAUAUCAAACGCCUGGGUAAAACAGGAAUAUAAAGCCCUUGCCACGUAAGAGGAUAAAGCAAAUGUAGUAAAGCUUGUGAUGCAUAUCCCAGCAUUCCUAAGUUUUCAGACAAAAAUAUAACUUUAGCUUCCAUUAAAGCAGCCUCAAAAAGAACAAGAAUAUUAGGGAUACUUAAUGCACGAAAUAACGGAUAUAAGUCAACAUCAUUCCAACCUGGGAUUUCAUUGACUGGACUCCUAAAUGCGUAAAGAUUUAAUGGGCCGACAUUAACUUGCAACUGCAGAAGUCCUUUCGGCGGCAAAGGAACAUCACAGCAAAUGUUUUUUACAAACGAUUGAAGGUUUAGUGAUUUAAGGGAAUUUAAAUCUGACGAAGGGAUAAAAUCGAGAUCUUCAGCUUGAAUAGAGGAGCAUACUAUUCGAAGCCAAUCCCGACAAAAGGACUGCAAAUGUGAAUGCUUACUCAAUAAUCCAUAAGCAUUGGGUAUCCAUAAAGUCCUGUUAUUUGUCAGUCCAUGAACAAAUCUAGGUAAUUUAUAGCGCAUAGGACGAAGAAGUUCAGUAUAAAGAAUAAUGUUUUCUUCACAGACAUCAAUCUUUUCCAAGAGUAUAGGAUCGAUGGAAUCACUCCCUUCAAGUUCCUUUUCUUGCAUUUUUAAUAAUAAUGAAGAAAGUUUUGAUCGCUCCGUUUCUAAACUGGAUAAAAGCUUCUCGGCAACCUCACGGUCUUCCACAGUCGUAUUAUUAGCUCUCCAAACUUCACAUUCCUUUUCCAAGUCAUUUUGCAUAGAUUGAGGCAUUGCAACCCAAACUACCACGCAAAUCCCAUACAAGUGGCUGUUAUUGUCACUGGUCAAAGCAAAAGAGUGGUAGGUUGAUACAGGUCUAACAUCCGAUUCUUUUAUAGUUAUGUCGUUAGGAAAAGCAAACAUCGGAACAUAAUUAGGGAAAUCACAACGGUCAAUAGUCGGUGUCUCAUUUUUUAUGUCCUUGGAAGAAGGGAAUUGAUGGAGGAGAGAAGGAGGAUAGCGUCUCUCGAAUGGAUGGGUAGCAGCGAAUAAGGGCAGGGCAUCAGGAUAUGCAACAUAAGACUGAUACAAAUCAUUUUGGGUAUGCGUAGUACCGAUACUAACGCGGUUUUGUAAAUGCUCUUUAUCGAUGACAGAAGGCUCGGAGUAUGGCUUUCUGGAAUGAUACUUUCGAGGUGUUGAAGUAUUAGAGGAUAAGCUACGACGAUGUAAGGACGUAACGGAGGCAUGGUCAAAUGAAUCCUUUUUUUUCUUGGUCGGUGUGUUAGAUGUUGAGUGAUGAUAAUCUAAAAACGGCUUCUUUGGACCCACAGAAUUGGAUCCAGUGGUGUUGUGAUGCGCAAAGGUAUUUUCUUUAUAAAAAGAAGACUCAGAAGUGAUUGACACUCUUUUUAAUGGCGACUUCCUUGUAUUGUUUUGGAUGAUAGAACUAGAAACAGAUAUGGCGUCUUCAUCAAGUCUAUCUGCUCGAAAUUGAGAAUUGGAUACACUCACAAAUCCGUUAGAGAGACCUGCGAGAAAGAAAUGAUC